AAUGAACGCUGGCGGCAGGCCUAAAACAUGCAAGUCGAACGCCCUAGCAAUAGGGAGUGGCGCACGGGUGAGUAACAUGUGGGAAUAUGCCUUUUGGUACGGAACAACGUUUGGAAACGAACGCUAAUACCGUAUGGUCCCUCCGGGGUAAAGAUUUAUCGCCAAAAGAUUAGCCCGCACUAGAUUAGCUAGUUGGUAAGGUAAUGGCGUACCAAGGCGACGAUCGAUAGCUGUUCUGAGAGGAAGAUCAGCCACACUGGGACUGAGACACGGCCCAGACUCCUACGGGAGGCAGCAGUUAGGAAUAUUGGACAAUGGGCGCAAGCCUGAUCCAGCCAUGCCGCGUGAGUGAUGAAGGCCUUCGGGUUGUAAAGCUCUUUAGCCGACGAAUAUAAUGACUGUAGUCGGAGAAUAAGCCCCGGCUAACUUCGUGCCAGCCGCCGCAGUAACAC
rnacentral:rRNA from 1 species